rnacentral:rRNA from 1 species
AGUCUGCAACCCGGCCUACAUGAAGCUGGAAUCGCUAGUAAUCGCAGAUCAGAAUGCUGCGGUGAAUACGUUCCCGGGUCUUGUACACACCGCCCGUCACACCAUGGGAGUCGGAAAUGCCCGAAGUCGGUGACCCAACCGUUUACGGAGGGAGCUGCCGAAGGCAGGUCUGGUGACUGGGGUGAAGUCGUAACAAGGUACC